rnacentral:tRNA from 1 species
GGGGGCAUAGCUCAGAGGUAGAGUGUGUGCUUAGCAUGCACGAGGUCCUGGGUUCAAUCCCCAGUACCUCCA